rnacentral:misc_RNA from 1 species
GAUGAAGAACGCAGCGAAAUGCGAUAAGUAAUGUGAAUUGCAGAAUUCAGUGGAUCAUCGAAUCUUUGAACGCACAUUGCGCCCCUUGGUAUUCCGAGGGGCAUGCCUGUUCGAGCGUCAUUAUAACCCUCAAGCUCAGCUUGGUGUUGGGGCCUGCUGCACUGGCAGCCCUUAAAAUCAGUGGCGGCGCCAUCUGGCUCUAAGCGUAGUAAUUCUUCUCGCUAUGGAGUCCUGGUGGAUGCUUGCCAUCAACCCCCAAUUUUUCUAUGGUUGACCUCGGAUCAGGUAGGGAUACCCGCUGAACUUAAGCAUAUCAAUAAGCGGAGGA